GGCGAGGAAGAGUUAUGUUCUGCUAACAUCGCAAGAGAAGAUAAAGUGAGGCUUCCUGCUUCUUUCUUUGUUGUCACUGUGACCCAUCCCAGUUGCGUAGCAUCACGCAGAGAGGAGCUCGUACUAAAGCAGGCUUGCCUGGCACCGAUUUCCAGCCAGAGCAGGCUGCACUCAACAAUCCUCCACUGAUGGCUGCCUGUGUCCCUGCCAGUCGACAGCUGUCCCCGCAUCCAGAGAGGACUGGGAUUGAAUUAGGUAGAAGUUGCCUUAAGCUUCUUGUCUGCCGUAACGGACUAGUGAAUGGUACCCUAACGGGAUGGCAAGAGCAAUAGGGAAAUCUCGAAGGUAAAGGAGUCCAGCAGUAGCCUUAAACCAUGGUCUGACUGCUGGAGAGCAGCAGGCGUGCUCUAUUACCAAACGCAGGUUGUGCAUCCCAAUUAAUCUGACAAUGGAGCAAAAAGCCUUAUAUGGUAUGACCGCAGUGGUUUGAGGAAUGCCGAAAUAAGAAAGCAGUCAUUACGAGGCAUUUGUUUAAUGACUGUAAUCAUACGGAAUUAAUUUAACUUGCUGCAAUGUUUAACGGAAAGUCGAUUAUAAAUUUGUGCUGGAAGAAUCGCAAUACUGGUAUUUGCAUAGCACCUUCCUCCGAGGAGACAUCCUCUGAAGAUAAUCUCAUCUCCUCAGCAUUUACAGAGCACUCAGAAUGUGCUGAGUGCCUUACAGAACAAUCCAGGACCAGCGUCUCUGAGGACAGGUGCUUAUGAUUCUGAGCCAGAAUGACACAGACAUACGGUAUGAAGAGCAUAGAGAGGAUUGCUCCAUUGGCCUAUGCUAGGCAUUCCGUAAGGAUUGAGCAGGGUUUUUGUUUUUUCCUACUGAUGUCCUAUGAAUUUUAUUUUUCUGUUUGCUUCUUAUCAGGUUGUCUUGACAUGAAUCCCACUCAAAACCAGCAGGAGGUCAAAACUCGAUUAAAGAACUUCAUCCAUGCAAUUAUAGAAUUACUGUGUUAGGGGUACUGUGAGUAUUAAGAUUAGAAUGACUAGGAGUAUUGGGCGCCUGGGUGGCUCAGUUGGUUAAGCGACUGCU